rnacentral:snoRNA from 1 species
CGUUUGUUAAUAAGCGGUUUCUUACUGAAAAUGUCUGAACAUGUGAAUUCCAUAGUGAUUUCAGUGCAUUACUGAGAUAAGCU